UCAAUUUUGUAAAUAUUUUCUAAGCUGUAGAGACUUGUUGUUGUUAUGAACUUGUUCCCAUUAGGUGUUUGGUUACAACUUUGGCUGCAUUGCGUCUUGCCGAUUUCUUAGUGUAUUUGAGUCUUCAAAUCAUCCUACCAAAUUGCUGUUGUUACUGACUUUAGAAGGAUAUUGUUCCUCGCUGUUUAAUUCUAUGACUUGUGAUUGUUGCAUCUAGUAAAUUGUUGCUGAUAUUUGUUUUAAUCAUGUUCAAUUUAUCUCCCUUUCGGCAAGCGUUUUAUUAUUAUUAUGGACAGUGCAUUGGUUUAUAAUGAUAUUUAAAAUGUUUACUAAUGCUGUUAUAAUUAUGCAACACUAACUACAUCAUGUCAAAUUCCUGCGCAUCUUUAAAUAUCACUUUCUUGUGGCUGUGUUAAAUAAGCAUUACAUAAG
rnacentral:lncRNA from 1 species